rnacentral:rRNA from 1 species
UUCACGGAGAGUUUGAUCCUGGCUCAGGACGAACGCUGGCGGCGUGCUUAACACAUGCAAGUCGAACGAUGAACCACCUUCGGGUGGGGAUUAG